ensembl:misc_RNA predicted gene, 27308
AAGGAGUAGCCUGCGGAUAGCUGAAUGAAGUGGCUUUCAGAGCGCCAGGCAGACUCCGGGUGUCUUGGAGGCGGCAGCCAAGAAUCUGUCUGCGACUGCCAGGGCGGGAAGAAGCCGGUGGUGGUAGGGCUUCCAGAAUCGGGACGAGACUCGAAGCUUUCCAACUAAAUCUAAGCUAAACACCCAAGGAUCUUGACCAUGAAAUCGAAGAAAUCUAGCGUUUC